UGGCUCAGAACGAACGCUGGCGGCGUGCCUCAGACAUGCAAGUCGAACGCGAAAGUUCCCUUCGGGGAACAAGUAGAGUGGCGCACGGGUGAGUAACACGUAGGUAAUCUACCUUUGGAUUGGGAAUAACACCGAGAAAUCGGUGCUAAUACCGAAUAAUGCAGCGGCACCUAAUGGUGACAGUUGUUAAAGCGGGGGAUCGCAAGACCUCGCGUCUAAAGAGGAGCCUGCGGCGGAUUAGCUAGUUGGUAAGGUAACGGCUUACCAAGGCGAUGAUCCGUAGCCGGCCUGAGAGGGCGGUCGGCCACACUGACACUGACAUACGGGUCAGACUCCUACGGGAGGCAGCAGU
rnacentral:rRNA from 1 species